UUUAUAACUCCACGCUACCGGCCUGUACUUACACUUUGAGGUGAAGUAAAAUGCAAGAAAGUAAAUCUAUGCUACUUUUAGUACCCAAUUGCGUUUAUAAAUCCAUGCAAUCGGCCCUAUACUUCUCUUUUGCUCAAGGAUAAAACCUGCAGAGGUUAUCCACAUUCCACGAAUGCGGCAGCUCCUCCCCCUCUUCAUUGGCCAAUCAAUAAGCCCUUGGCCUCACACUGUUU
rnacentral:lncRNA from 1 species